rnacentral:rRNA from 1 species
GAUGAACGCUAGCGGCAGGCUUAAUACAUGCAAGUCGAGGGGUAACAUGGUAGCAAUACUGAUGACGACCGGCAAACGGGUGCGGAACACGUACAGAACCUUCCUUUAAGCGGGGGAUAGCCCAUAGAAAUGUGGAUUAAUACCCCAUAGUAAUAUUGUCUGGCAUCAGAUGGUAUUUAAAGAUUUAUCACUUAAAGAUGGCUGUGCGGCUGAUUAGGUAGUUGGUGNGGGUAACGGCCCACCAAGCCUUCGAUCAGUAACUGGUGUGAGAGCACGACCAGUCACACGGGCACUGAGACACGGGCCCGACUCCUACGGGAGGCAGCAGUAAGGAAUAUUGGUCAAUGGACGCAAGUCUGAACCAGCCA